rnacentral:snRNA from 1 species
GUCCCUUCGGGACAUCCGAUAAAAUUGGAACGAUACAAAGAAGAUUAGCAUGGCCCUGCGUAAGAUGACACACACAAGUGGUCAGAGUUUAUACUUUA